rnacentral:lncRNA from 1 species
CUCGAAUUUUCAAUAUGUUUGCAAGAGUAUUGAAUGUUAGAAUGCUAUUGAAAUAACUAAUUGCAAUGUCCUAAACUUAAUUUUCUUUGACAUUGAUGUUUCUUUGGAUCUUGAUUGGUAAUAAUUUCUUCCUUCGCUUGAGCUCUUCAGGAAGCGUUGAACAAGGACGUGGAAGAUUGUGCUGCUGAAUUUGAUGGCAAUUUAAGAUAUUUUGUGGCUGAUGCAUACUUGCAUCCAACUUUUAAGUCCUUUGAAGAAGUUGAGUUAGUUGAAGCCGGAAAUGAUCAAAUCCAGACUCACAUUUCUGACCCUUCUCCAAGCAAUCAUAGUUCUCAUGAACAAAGCCAGGAAUUUUUUCGCAUUUGCAUUUUUAUCAAGACCAUUAACCUCAAAACAAAACCAAUAAGCACUGAACUAGCAUAGUACUCCUUAAGCAUUUUAAUACUAUCACGGACACGGAACAAGCAUUAAUGGCAAACGCAAUACCACAACUAAACCUUACAAGAAAGCAAUAACUGAUUAACUGAAAAGAGAUCGUUAAAUAGUUCGUCUAACUGAGAAAAAGGAUGGAUAGAACGAAUAAUGUUAGGUAUAAGAUCAUUGUCUAAUUGGGAUACUUAAUUUAUGUCUCCAAAAUUCAAUCUAGGAUUAGUUUUUGAAUUCUUAGUUCGGUCAUUUUUAUAGCUCAUUAGCUCAAGAAUGGAGCAUGAAGGCAUGCCAUUCAAGUAAGAAGUUCAAAUAUUAUUUACUCUACAAGGAUAACUUUUCAUGGUUGAUUGAAUAUUUAUAAUGCAAGUUUGAACAUGUAAACAAAUAUUGCUUUUGUAAGAAAUUAAUAAAUAUUUUGUUCGUACUUAUAUUCUACAAGCCAAUUUUCCAAAGGCUAUUGUGGGGCAUUACUAUUAAUUGGUUUCUUAGACUAGUUUGGAAAAGAUUAUCUGAAGUAAAAAAUGAUAUAUUGAAAAUGUGAGGAUUAAAAAUUAGAGAAAAAUUACAAAUC